CUAGUCCCAGAGAGGAAGGGAAGUGCGCUGUCCGUAAAAGCGAGUCAGACCGGCCAGCUUGUAAUCGCGAUCUUUGGUGAAAACCCGCUGAUUAAUAUUGCUGAUGGUUAACUAUACAGUGUUAAAGAAAAAAACAUGAGUCUUUUUCCCAAAGCCGAGGCUGAUGGGAGUAGAUCAUAAGUUUCUGGUCGGGUGUAUGUCAUGCUUCUGGUGACAGGGAAAACAUGAGAUCCUUGCCACAAAAAGAUUUGGCAUUAGCUGAAAAUGAUGACCCUACUGAACUAAAUUAAAAGCCUAACACCACUCAUCAUCGUCAGCUGGCAGAGAUAACUGGAAUGUCGAAAUCUACAAUUGCAUACUUGAUGCAACAGCAAGAUAAACUGCAAGAAGAAUGGAUAUUACGUGAGACAGGAAACAUCCCAAAACACUCGGGGAGGACACACAUGAAGAGAGAAGGCAUACAGAAAUGGUCUGUUCAGAAUCAGCUACAGCCCCACAGUGUCUGUCCUGAUGAAGGGCCUUGGCUGGAAGCGUCGACUGUCAUUCCUCUCCAUAGACACUGCCUGACCUGCUGAGUCCUUCUAACAUAUUGUGUUUGUUGAUCUGUUGUUAUUUUGUGUGUUUAAAAUAGUUCCUUCAUCAACAAAGACUUAUAAUUUAGGAUGUCAGUGGUGCAUGGUGAAGUUUAUGGCUUUGAAGCUGUAUACUUUUACUGUUUUUUCUAUCUUCAUUCUGCAUGAUAAUGAGAUUGUGAAUGUGUUCAUGCUGUUGUGUGAACUAAACCAAUGCCCUUAGCACUUUAUUUUGAGCUCUUUAACGGAAGGAUAUUACUAAGUGGACAGAGUACAUGCUGCGAGUCUCCUUGAAGAAAGGGAACAUCCUUACAGAUUCCUGUGAUCAUAGAGUAAUAGAGCACAGUAAGAAGCCCUUUGGCCAAACAAGUCCUUUUAAACCAAAAUGUCCAUCUAAGUUAGGCCAUUUCUCUGUGUUUAUCCCAUAUCCCUCUAAAUCUUUCCUAUUCAUGUACCUGUCCAAGUGCCUUUCAAAUGUUACCAGCCUCAACCACCUCUAACAGCUCAUACUGUCAUGAACCCUUUGGACCAGCAAGGGGUGCCAGAUAGUGCCGUCUCAAUGCACCUACUAAUUUCACUUACUUGAGGUUAUUACAGUUGUUUAAGCUGUUACUGUGUUUUUAUGAUGCUGAUUAUGUGAAUACAGUUUCCUUAUGCUUCUCGUUCUUAAGUGAUUACAACCCGCAUGGGUUUCCUGGAUUCUGUGUUCUAUUUAAGGAAAUUCUGGAACAAGCAUUCAUCGUUGAGUCCUAGCUGAAGUUCUGUGUGCUCAUCUCAAAUAAAUAAGCUCUUACCUCAAUUAU